rnacentral:rRNA from 1 species
UUGAAAGGGAAACGAUUGAAGUCAGGUCGUACCAGCGGGAAAUCAACCUUUCGAGUGGGGGUUUUGGAGUUUUUUGAAGAGUGUCAAAACCUUUGAGAUUUCAAAAUAUUCGCUCUUUUGGUGUGCUUUCUCGUGGGUAGGUUAACAUCGAUUUUGAUCAUCAUAAAAAGAUUGGAGGAAUGUAGCUUCGAUCUUGUAUUGAAGUGUUAUAGCCUCUGGUAAAUGUGAUGAUUAGGAUCGAGGAUUGCAACGAAUACCCUUUUGGGCUAUCCGCCUGAUCUCUGAUACGUGGCCUUGGUAUCGAAAGCGUGCUUAUGGUAUUGAGGUAUUACGGUCAAAAGGUUAGAACGGAUUACAUUCGUUAAGGAUGUUGACGUA